AUAGUGUCAUUUUUUUUUCACACAGAUCCUAAACAUUUCUUGUUCCGUUCAUUCCUAAAUAUGUUUUAGGUGAUUUUUGCUGUUUACAGUGACACUAUCUAUUAUUGUUGUCCCCUUUACAUUUUAUUAUACUUUCAUCAGUUGAGUCUGCCAAAUGUCAAUGGCUUUUAAAUCUGACAUUAUCGGAUUCGUUAACCACUGAGCCAUGACGGGAACUCCAAGAAUUGUUGGGAUUUUAGACGGUAAUAUAGUGCAUAUACCAUACUUUGUCUUUUUUAAAUUUUUUAAUUUCUAUUUUUUAUUUUUUUAUCAUAUAAUUGUUCUUUAUUUUAUUAAAGUAGAGUUGAUUUACACUGUUUCAUCAUGUUCUGUUGCACAGCAAAGUGACCCAGUCACACAGAGUUCCCUGUGCUGUAAACCAGGGCCCCAUUGCCCAUCUACUCCAGAUAUAUAACAGUUUGCGUCCAGAAAACCCCCAAAAUGCACAUCCACUCAACUCCUCCCCCUUCCCCCUAGGAACCCCAGGUCUGCUCUCCUUGGCCAUGAUCUGUUUCUGUUUUUUUAGGUAGGAUCAUUUGUUCUGUAUUUUAGAUUCCAUAGGUAAGUUAUAUCAUAUGGUAUUUGUCUUUUUCUUUCUGGCUGACUUCACUUAGUAUGAGAAUCUGUGGUUCCAUCCAUAUUGCUGCAAGUGGCAUUAGUUUGUUCUUUUUUAUGGCUGAGUAAUAUUCCAUUGUAUAUAUGUACUACAUCUUCUCAAUCCAUUCAUCUGUUGAUGGACAUUUAGGUUGUUUUCAUGUCUUGCCUAUUGUGAAUAGUAUUGCAAUGAACAUAGGGGUGCAUUUAACAUUCACUGAAAAAGAUAAUUUUUCUUCUUUAAUUUGUUUAAGUUACCGAUGGACUGUACUGACUGAUUUUUGAAUGCUGAAUCAGCCUUGCAUAAUUGAAAUAAAUCUCACUUGUCACUGCUGGAUCUUCUUUUCAUAUAAUGUUAGAUUUGAUUUGUUAAAAAAAUUAGGAUAUUUUUAGCUGUAGUUAUGGGAGAUACUGGUUUGUAGUUUUCAUUUCUUGCGUUUUUAUAUCUUCUUUUGGUAUUAGGAAGAUGUUGGCAUUAUCAGAACAAGUAAGGAAAUAGUCUCUCUUGUGCUAUUUUCUCAAAGAGAACAUGGAAUCCUUCCUGAAAUGGUUAGUGGAAUUUGCCAGUGAGACCCUCUGGACCUGUUUGGUUUUGGAAAUUUAUUGAUCAUUGAUUCAGAUCAUAGCUGUAGGAUUGUACAGAUCAUCUUUCUCCUAGUCUGGGUAUUAGUAGCUUGUAUCUUUCAAGGAGUUGGUCCCUUUCAUCUGUUAUAAAAUGUGUGCGCUUGGAGUUGUUCCUGGGAUUUCUGCAUUAGCUUUGUAUUGUCCGUGGGAUCAGUGGCAGUGAUCCCUUUUUCAAAUAUGAUAUUGGUUCUGUCUUUUUUUUAAAACGAUUGUUAUUUUUUCCAUUAUAGUUGGUUUACAUGUAUAUACUAUACUCUCUGUAACACUUCAAUAAGAUCUAGAGCAACGUCUUAGAAUCAAAUGUAUUAAUAUUCAUGGCAUAAAAAUGUAUUAGCAUUAGUAUGAACACUAAUUUGUAUAAAUAAAGGCUAUAUAACCUAUAUAAUAACUGCAUACCUAUCCAGGUAGAUUUUGCUGUGAAAUGAGGUUUGCCUUAAAUUGUGAAAAACUUUACCUUUCUAGAGCUGGUUUUUUUUUUUUUUUUUUUUUGGAACUUUAGAUAAUGGUUUAAAGACCUGUGCAAGCAAAAUAUGUUAAGAUUUCAACAUCUGGCUAGCCCUGGGGGUCAAUUAAAAGAGUUCUUUGAAGUCCUGGCUGUGUUAGAUGGUCUUGUGGUUUGGGGUGUUUAGUCUGAAGGCAGAAGAGUGCACUUUUAGAAGAACAAAAUACAAACUUUGGAGUAAUUAUUGAAAAAGUAAUGAGUAAAAUAUCUUAAUUUGCAUUCUUGACCUUUGUCAUCAGUCAUUACCUUUCAAUAUGUAGUGCUUUGGUUGAAAAGAAUAGCAAUUAACACUAACACUCCCUAGAAAUCUUAAUGUUAAAAAUUGCCUUAUUUUUUUAAGCCUCUCUGGGAAGGGAUCCUUGGUGUUUUCAUCUUUUAUUUCUAGCACAUAAAAGCACCUCCUUCUAAAUAUCCUGUGACUGUAAAGAUACUUUUUCAGUUGAGUCUUUUAAAGUACAAAAUUAAGGAAUCUAUUUAUCUCUCAUAUACAGUGUGCACUAACUAACUGUGCUAAGUGCUGAGGAUAUAGUCUGAUGGGAGAGACGCACACAUAAAUAGAAUAUCACAAUAUUAUGUGAUGAGUGAUGUGAGAGGUUAAGUACAGUGUGCCAUGGAACACCAUGUUCUGGGGUGAGAGAAGGAACAGAGAUAAAGUAAGAAGUUAGGCAAGUGAAAUGAGGAGGGAAAUAAAAAAUAUUCUAACAGUGAUUUUCCAAAUGUGAUUCAUGGACCAGCAGCAUCAGCAUCACCUGGGAAUUUGUCAGAAAUAGAGAUUCUCAGUCCUUACCCCAAACCUACUGAAUUUAAAACUCUGAGAACAGGAGCUGAGCAAUCUAUUUCAAUAAGGUUGAUCAUCUGGAUGAUUCUGAUGCAAACUUAAGUUUGAGAACCAUGGUUCUAAACAGCAAACAUGAAAAAAGAAUCAGAGCAUAUAGGCAGUCUACUAUAAAUAGCAAGAUGUUAGUGUAACUGAAUGGCAUUAGGCCAUAGGAGAGUUUUAAGCAGAAAAAGUAAAAAUCUAACUUUUAUUUUAUUUUAUUUUAUCUUAUCUUUUUAGGGCCACAUCUGCGGCAUAUGGAGGUUCUCAGGCUAGGUAUUGAAUUGGAGCUGUAGCUGCUGGACAAUGCCACAGUCACAGCAAUGCCAGAUUGGAGCCACAUCUGCGACCUACACCACAGCUCACAGCAGCGCCGGAUCCCUAACCCACUGAGCAAGGCCAGGGACUGAACCUGUGUCCUCAUGGGUUCCAGUCAGAUUUGUUUACACUGAGCCAUGACAGGAACUCCCUAACUUAAAUUUUAAAAGAGUUUCUUCACAAGGUAAAAAAUUGACUGAGUAAAGGGAGCAUGAGAUGAUGGAGGUUUGAACUAGGGUGGCAGAGGUGGAGGUAAUGAGAACAGUGUGUCUGGUAGUGUGAAUAAGCUUUGUAGGUAAAACUGAUUGGACUGAUUGAAUGUUCCAAUACAUUGGAUUUGGGAUGUGAGAGAAAGAAAGGAAUCAAGGUUUGGGCCUGAGCAAGAAUGGUAUUACUACUUCUAUGAAAUGAAGAAGGAAGAGCAGUACGGGGCAGAAGAUUAGCAGUUUAGUUUUGGACUUGUUGAGCUGCCUGUAGACAUCCAAAUGGAAAUGUCAGAUAGCCUGUUGGGUAUGUAUACAUGUCUAUAGUUUGCAUAGGAGUGGCCUAGAUAUCCAAAUUUGGAAGACAGUAGCAUGUAAAUGAUAUUUAAAUUCAUGAAAUGGAUAAGAACUCCAAUGAGAUCUGUAUGUAGGUAAGGAAGAGAAGGGGUCUAUGCAAUGAGACCUGGACACUCUGAUUUUAAGAGUUUAGGAAGAUAAUAGACUUCCUAUAUCUUAACUCAAUAGAAAAUGGAGAGAAAGAAUGGCCACUGAGGUAGGAGGAGAACCACAGAUGGGGUGUCUUGGAGAUCUAGUGAAAAAACUUUUAGGAAGAAGAAACCAUUCAAUAAGUCAGUUGCUACUCAUAGGUGGAAUGAGAUAAAAGCUGAGAUGUAUCCUUGAGAUUUGACUGCAUGGAGGUCAUUGGUAAUCCUGAUUAAGUGCAGCUUUGAUGACAUAAUGGGAAAAAGACCAGGUUGGAGUGUGCUCAAGAGAGAAAGGAGAGUUUAGUGGAAAUUAAGUACAGACAAUUCUUUGGAAGAGCUUUGAUCAGGGGGAGGAGGUGCAAAGAGAAGAGGCAGUAGCUCUGUUCUAAGAACAAUGCGGAGCCUAUGAAGAACUCUUGGUGCCUACUAUUUCAAGGACAGUUUAAAAUACUUGAUAUUGCUGUUUUGAUAAUGUGUCUUCAUUAGCUAUUACAUGUCAGAAAGAGUGAUUAUGUUAGCUAAUAUCUUAAUCUUAUGUGCUAUGAAACAAUGUCAUUGAAAGUGAAUAACUCAACUAUUUAAGGAAUAUAUGAUAUUAGAUUUUGAUUCUCUGCUUUAAGUAAGAAGAGAUUUGUUCCAUGCCUUUAUGUGUUAUGCGCGCGCGAGUGUGUGUGUGUGUGUGUGUGUGUGUGUGUGUGUGUGUGUGUGUGUGUGUGUGCAGUUGAACCUUGAACAACUUGGGUUUGAAAUGAAGGGCCAUUUAUUUAUUUUUAAAUUUUUUUUAAUUUUUUUGCUUUUUAGGACUGUACCUGCAACAUGUGGAGGUUCCCAGGCAAGGGGUCCAAUCGAAGCUGCAGCUGCUGGCCUAUGCCACAGCCACAGCAACAUGGGAUCUGAGCCAAGUCUGCCACCUAUACCACAGCUCAUGGCAUCACCUGAUCCUUAACCCACUGAGCAAGGCCAGGGUUUGAACCUGCAUCCUCAUGGGUACUAGUCGGGUUUGAUACUGCCGACUCACAGGGGGAAUUCCACAGGGGCCAUUUAUACCCUUUUUUUCCCCUUAAAUAUGUUGGAAAUUUUUAUGGAGAUUUGUGAUAAUUUGAAAAUAGCUUGCAGACAAGCCAUAUAGCCUAGAAAUAUUUUUUUAAAAAAGAAGUUAAGUGUAUCAUGAAUGCUUAAAAUACUUGUAGACCUCCAUGGCCAGGGAUCAAACCCGCACCUCCAAAGUGAUCCAAGCCACUGCAGUCAGGUUCUUUAACCUACUGUGCCAUGUCGGGAACUCCUACAAGUCUAUUAUAAGCAGUUAAAAUUUAUCCAAACCUACACAAACACUUAAACCCCAUCUAUGGCACCAUUCCCAGUUGAGGGAAAGGUAAACAAAUGUAAAGAUGCAAGAGUAAAGCAUAACUGCAUAAAAUUAACUGUAGCACAUAGGAUACUGUAGUAAUAAUUUUGUAGUUACCUCCUGUUGCUGUAAGCAGUGAGCACAAGUGUUGGAAGUAUCCAACACUUGAUACUGGAGUCAUCUCUCCAGUAAAUUGCAUAUUGCAUAAAAAGUGAUCUCUUGUGGUUUUCAAGUAUUUUUUAUGUUUAGUGCAAUACCAUAAACCUUGAAUAACAGCAUACAAAGGGCCACUAGUGAUCCUGAAAGUGUUCCCAGAAGCAGAGUCAUGACAUUACAAGAAAAAAAAUUUUUUUCUUUUGGCUUUUUGGCUUUUAGGGCUGCACCUGUGACACAUGGAGGUUCCCAAACUAGGGGUCCAAUUGGAGCUGUAGCUGCUGGCCUACACUACAGGAUCUGAUCUGUGUCUGCAGUCUAUACCACAGCUCACAGCAACGCCAGAUCCUUAAGCCACUGAGCGAGGCCAGGGAUCAAACCCACAUGCUAAUGGAUGCUGGUCGGGUUCGUUAACCGCUGAGUCUUGAUGGGAACUCCACAAGAAAAAAUUAAAUAGCUUAAUGUGUACUAUAGAUUGAGGUUGGCAACUGCAUUUACCAUUUCAAGAUAAAUGAAUCCAGUAUAAGGAUCAUUGUAAAAAAAAAAAAAAAAAA
rnacentral:lncRNA from 1 species